rfam:Hordeum vulgare subsp. vulgare, WGS project CAJW01000000 data, contig: morex_contig_367287
AGCGGGAAGUGGAAGAAAAGAGGGCAUAAGAGCAGUGGGAGCAGGAACAUGGAGGAAAUCCUAACUUGCUUUGUUUCCACCUCUCGUGUUGGAGGUGAGACUUGCUUUGGUGUUUUCCAAUGACUCCUAUUCCUAUUGUUCUCAAGCACUCCUUCCUCUUCCUUUUUCGG